NNNNNNNNNNNNNNNNNNNNNNNNNNNNNNNNNNNNNNNNNNGCCGCCAUCCUGCGCGCCAGCGCCGACGCCAACGCCAAGGCCACGGCCAUGGCCAGGGCCGCCGGAGCCACCGGCAUCACCAGUAUCACCAGUAUCACCAGUAUGACCGGUAUCACCAGUAUGACCAGUGCCACCAGUAAGGCCACCGGCGCUCCCAGUUUGGGCGGCAGCGUCAUCGUCACCAGAGCCGCCGCCGGCGCGGCUCCCAGCGCUCCCAGUUUGACCAGUACGACCAGUCCGGGGAGAGUCGGUGCUGGGAUUGUCCCUAAAGCCACCGGCGGGACCAGUCCGGGUGUCACCAGUGCGACCAGUGUGACCAGUUUGACUGGUGCAGCGGCUCCCAGUUUGACCAGUGCAGCGGCUCCCAGUUUGAACAGUGCAACCAGUUUGACCAGUGCGGCGGCUCCCAGUUUGACCAGUGCAACCAGUUUGACCAGUGCUGCGGCUCCCAGUGUCACCAGUACGACCAGUUUGACCAGUGCGGUGGGUCCCAGUUCAACCAGUUUGACCGGUGCGGCAGCUCCCAGUUUGACCAGUUCAACCACUGCUACAGCUUCCAGUGUCACCAGUACAACCAGUUUGACCAGUGCUGCGGCUCCCAGUGUCACCAGUGUGACCAGUGCAGCGGCUCCCAGUUCAACCAGUCUGACCAGUGCUGCGGCUCCCAGUGUGACCAGUUUGACCAGUGCAGCGGCUCCCAGUUCGACCAGUUUGACCAGUGCUGUGGCUCCCAUUGUGACCAGUUUGACCGGUGCGGCAGCUCCCAGUGUCACCAGUUUGACCAGUGCUGCGGCUCCCAGUGUCACCAGUUUGACCGGUGCAUCGGCUCCCAGUGUCACCAGUUUGACCAGUUCCACGGCUCCCAGUUUAACCAGUAUCACCAGUACGACCGGUUCCACGGCUCCCGGUGCCGCCAGUGCUGCCGUUCUCAGCGCCACCAGUUUGACCAGUGCUCCCAG
rnacentral:lncRNA from 1 species